rnacentral:tRNA from 1 species
AAAAAAUUAGUUAAAAUAUAACAUUAGUUUGUCAAGCUAAAAUUAUUAAUUUGUUAAUAUUUUUUA